rnacentral:rRNA from 2 species
AAGUCAGUGACCUAACUGCAAAGAAGGAGCUGCCGAAGGCGGGACCGAUGACUGGGGUGAAGUCGUAACAAGGUAGCCGUAUCGGAAGGUGCGGCUGGAUCACCUCCUUUCUAAGGAA